CAUUGAGAAAUCCUUUCAUGAAUGUUUCUCCAUUUCAGCCCGAAUUCUGUUCCUCUCUCUAAAACGCUGCCUCGUGACGCUCUCUCUCUCUCUCUCUCUCUCUCCAUUAUAACUCCAAUCUAUCCACCUCCCCCAGGAAAAAUUCGCAGUCAUGAACGACGACGAUGAUUUCGGCGGUCUCUACGCCGAUAUCCUCCUUCCUCUUCCCUCAGCUCCGACCACCCUCUCGCUCACCGGCGGUGACCAUACCUCGACCAAAAACCCUAGCCCCGGUCAGCCCCUCGAUGCCCUAGCUCCAUUCGCCGACGACGAUCCGAAGGAUGAUUUGGUUCCUGACAAUUGGAGCGAUGACGAUCAGGUCCCCGUCGCGAAAUUCAAAGAAAAGGUCGGUCCUGGCGUCUCAACCGAAGGAGGGGGAGCUAGGGUUUUUGGAUCACCCGCAAACGUCACGGCCGAGGUUAGGAAGGAUGAGGGAGCUAGGGUUUUUGUGGAGGAGAAGAUGGAGAAUGGGGAUCUCGGUCAAGAACCAACCAUUCCUGGUUUAUCUGCUGUUCCUUUAUCGAGCAACGGCAGCCUGAGGAUUUCUAAUGCUGAUGAUUGGGAUAGUGAUAGCGACGACGAUCUACAGAUUGUGUUGAAUGAUAACAGGCACAUGCCGAUGGGGAAUGAGAUGAACGAGGAAAACGAUGACGGGGAAGAGGAUUUGGUUAUUGUUACGGACGAGCAUCAUCAGGCGGCGGAGGAGCAGGAUUGGGGUGAAGGGGAGCUGCAGCUGGCAACUGAUGGGGACACAAAAGGGGCUUCAGAGGCGGCAACAGCGAAUGGAGCUGUUGGAAGUGUCUCUGCUGGACCAAGGAUUGGUCAUCGUAACCAGGCAUUUCAUCCUCAGCAUAAUACUAUGUUCAAGUAUAUAAGACCCGGUACAGCAGCACCUGGUGCUCCAACAGUUGGUCCUCCAGGUCAAAUUCGUCCCCCAACAAUGGAUUUUAUUGGUGGUCGUGGGAGAGGUGACUGGAGGCCUGCAGGCAGAACAGGCUUUCUUGGCGGACCAAAAGGUUUCCAUUCUGGUUUUAGGCCUGGAUUGUCGAAUAAUUCUUCACGCGCUUUUGGUGGUGGAUUAGAUUUCACCCUUCCCUCAUACAAGACAAUAUUUGAGGUUGACAUAGAAAGUUUUGAGGAGAAACCUUGGAGACAUCCUGGAGUUGAUAUUUCAAUUUAUUUCAAUUUUGAUUUGGAUGAAGACAAAUGGAAAGAAUAUAGCAAACAAUUGGACCAACUUCGUCUAGAGUCUACCAUGCGAAGCAAAAUCCAUGUGUAUGAGAGUGGGCGAUCAGAGCAUGAGUUUGACCCAGAUUUACCUCCCGAGCUGGCGGCUGCUGCAGGUCAUCAUGAUAUUUCUGCUGAUAAUACGAAGCAUGGAAAGCUAGAUCUUGGGCAUACUGAUUUGCAUGUUCAGGGAAGAGGUCUCCCAUGCAUACAAGCACCUUUUCCACCUGGUAGAGCAAUACCGGUUGAAAUUGGCUGUGGUGAACGGCUUCCCUCGAUAGACACCAGGCCACCACGUGCUCGUGAUGCAGAUGCAGUUAUAGAGAUUAUGUUGCAGGGUUGCAAGGAAGAUUCGAUUGUUCAUGAUAGUGCAAUAGAGAAAUCUGAAAAAGAUAUGUGUGGAGAAGAGCUUGCGGGUGUCAAUAAUGCUGAUGGCGAUAGACGCAAUGGAUCUGAAAGCUAUGAUCGCUUUGCCCAAAGUUUUGGUGGUCAUUGUGGGGAAAGAGGGUCAAGAAGGCUUCAAAAUGAAUCUGAAGAUAACUCUAUACCCCUUCCUCCAGAGUCACCUCUUCGCCAUAAAUCUGGUUCUAGAUUACGGAGCCCAUUGAGUCCUUCUAGAUCUUUUGGUACACAUCGUGCAGCAAGGUUGGCAGAAGGACCCUCACAUGGAAGACACUCUAGUGCAAGUGGCGACCGUUCUACUGACAGCAUCCCUAUUCAAAGUGCUCAAAAUAAGAAACAUGAUAAAUGCCAGAAAGGAAGGCCAACCAGUAGCAUGGAAGCUGAUCAAACUCCUAAAUUUUCACUUGCAAUGGCAGCUGACACAGCUGGGGAUCUGAGCAUAGGACAGAAGGAUGGUGAACAUGAUGACAUGCUUGCUUUAGGUGAUAGUAUCGAAGUAGAAGAGGAGGAAACUUCAGACAUUCGAAUUUCAGGCGAAACUCUUGGUGAAGAUAACAUCGGUCAUUCUUCCAAGAAGCAAAAACGAAGCUCUCGAGUUGAUCAAACUGCAGUUGAAGACCAUGCUGCUGCUGAUGAUGAUUUAAAGGUCACACGGAGUGACAACAGUAGAGCAAAAUAUGAAAGUAGCAAUCAAAAGAGACGCCGAAUAGCUGAUGAAGAAAUACAAGGUGGAAGAUCAAAGAGAGAUGGUGAUAUGAGAAGGCACCAUGAAGAGGAAAACCCGUUCUAUCAGAGAGAUGAUUAUGGAAGAGAAGGUAGGCAUGAGAUGGGCAGGAGGCCUAUGGAUUUGGGAGGACGGGGAGCUAUGUAUAAUUCGUAUUCACAUAUAGAUUGGGAUUCUUAUGCUGUACAUCCUAUUCGCGAUAGGAGUGAACGCUUUGAGAGACCCCGAGAGGUGGGUGGUUCUUUUUGGCAGAGGAGGGAAGAAGACACACACAGAAGAAGGUUAGAAAAUAAAGACAUAAGAUGGGAAUAUACUGAGGAAGCCGGGUCAAGGAAUAGAAAUAAAGUUAGGGUUAGUGACAGGAUCAACAAAGAUAAUGAUACCCACUUUACGAGAAGGUUGGAUGAUGGAGAUUGGAGGGGGCAUAAUAGAGGGGGUUUAAGGCUGAGGGAAAAUGAUGAUGUGAAUCGUAGAGACAACGUAGAUGAUCGUCUAUAUUUGAGGAGAGAAAGAACUGAAAAGGAAGAUUCCUUGCAUGGUUACAGGGCCAGGGAGGAUUCAAGCCGGCGGAAAAGGGAGAAAGAUGGUAAACCUGAGCAUAGGAGGAGGGAAGAUGGUACUCAAAGGAGAAACAAAGCUGAAGAUCGCCAUUCUUCCCGCCGCCAAAGAGAGAGAGAAGAUAGGCAGCAACUUAAACACUCUCAUGAAGAUUCCUUGCAUCGAGAAAGAGAGGAAGGUCGGGGUAUUUCUAGUAGUGGGCGGGCUAUAGAAAACAAGCCAUUAAGUGGGUGUGGAAGGAAUAAGGGUAGUUCUAAACUUUUGGCAUCUGACAAGGAUUAUCAGCAUAAAGAUAGAAAGCAGCAUGCUGAGCAAUCAAAGAGAGAAGAUCAAGCUGAGGAAGAAAAUGAUUCACAUAGCAAUGGACUUGAAGAUAUACCUGUUCGUGAGAAGCACCAUAAUGAGGAAAGAAGCUUAAGUUCUUACAGUCAAUGUCCUAGUUCUUCUGAUAAACUGCAGAUAUCAAGGGAGAAGCACAAGGAUACUGAAGGUAACAUGCAAAAUCCUGCAGUACGUGGUAAGAGGAAGCAUGAAGACCAAAGUGCUCAUCAUGACAAGGAUAGCUCGAAAGGCAUAAAUGAACAAGGGGGCGGUCUUGCUUCGGAUGAUGAGAGCCAACAUGAGUCAAAAAGGGGUCGUUCGAAAAUCGAGCGCUGGGCCAGCCCCAAAGAGAGAGAUUACAGUGCCACAAACAAUGUACAGUUGUCUUCUUCCUCCAUAACGAAAGAGGUCGAGAAAGUCACUGCUAGUGACAUAGUGCCAAUUGAUGAAUUGCCAAUAAGCGAAGGUAAUGAUGACAAGUCUGGGGAGGAUUUAGAUCAACACCUGGACACCGUGGAGAAGCUUAAGAGGCAAAGCGAACGAUUUAAGCUUCCUAUGCUGGGUGAUAAGGAUGUGGCUUCUUUGAGAGGCGAAAGACCAAAGAAUGAUACACAACUAAAGCCUGAGCGCCCUCCUCGGAAGCGGAAAUGGACAAGUAGCUGAUUGAGAAGACGGGAAUAAAAUUUGUUUUUUAUUGUGAGAUCAACGGAUGUCUCCUCGUUGCUGGAUAUAUGCCUUGAAACCCCAUGAAACGGGAAUUGGUAUUCUAUUUAUGCUGGUGUUCAACUUCCUCCUGAUGGCGUUGUGAAAUACACAGGAUUUGUAAUAGUUUAGCCUGAUGCGGGGGCAAGUGGAACCUUGUAUUUAGGAGGAGCCCUCAACCACGUAAUAUUGUGAGAUUUAUACGCAGGUAUAGAUGAUCAAAAGGUGAAGUUCAAGUUUGAGGCAGAUGGCUCGCUGGCUGGAUGCAUACUUGCAGCUUUGCCUUGAUCUGCAUUCAAAUCAUUGGCAGAUGCCUGCUACCGGUGAAAAAAGAUUAUCAUGGAGAUGGAGAAACCCAGCUGGCAGAAACGAGAAGGGUGAUUGUGGGUCUGAGGUUAAAGUCGAUCUGGAGCAGUGAAGGAGAUGCGUGUUGGCUCUUGAUGGAAGCCUUUUUUUUGUACUGAUGAAAAAUGAUGCUUUAGUAAAGGGUGAUAAAAUUGACAGUGUAUUAUAGUGCUAACUUUAUGGGAGAGUUGGGAUGUUGUAUCCGACCCAUGGGAAGGCGGGGAGAAGGGUUGGAUGUUUACUGGAUGUUUACAAUAUUCAACUGUCAUACAAAAAGUAUACUCUAUAUAUAGGUUAAAUACAAUCAUAACGUUCAAAAUCAUUUCUAGUAAGUUCCCUGUAUGCUCUCAAUAAAAGACGUCAAGAUUUUGUGCA